UACAGAGGUCUCAAGCGUUGUUCGGAUUCAUUGGGCGUAAAGGGUGUGUAGGUGGCGCCGUAAGUCGGGUGUGAAAUUUCGGAGCUUAACUCCGAAACUGCAUUCGAUACUGCGGUGCUUGAGGACUGGAGAGGAGACUGGAAUUCAUGGUGUAGCAGUGAAAUGCGUAGAGAUCAUGAGGAAGACCAGUGGCGAAGGCGGGUCUCUGGACAGUUCCUGACACUGAGACACGGAGGCCAGGGGAGCAAACGGG
rnacentral:rRNA from 1 species